AUUGAACGCUGGCGGCAGGCCUAACACAUGCAAGUCGAACGAGUGGCGGACGGGUGAGUAAUGUCUGGGGAUCUGCCCGAUAGAGGGGGAUAACUACUGGAAACGGUGGCUAAUCCCGCAUACUAUCGGAUGUACCCAUAUGGGAUGAGCUAGUUGGUGGGGUAACGGCUCACCUAGGCGACGAUCUCUAGCUGGUCUGAGAGGAUGAUCAGCCACAAUGGAACGGAGACAAGGCCCAGACGCCUACGGGAGGCAGCAGUGGGGAAUAUUGCACAAUGGGCGCAAGCCUGAUGCAGCCAUGCCGCGUGUAUGAAGAAGGCCUUAGGGUUGUAAAGUACUUUCAGCGGGGAGGCGUUACCCGCAGAAGAAGCACCGGCUAACUCCGUGCCAGCAGCCGCGGUAAUUC
rnacentral:rRNA from 1 species